GUGACUGCGUACCUUUUGUAUAAUGGGUCAGCGACUUAUAUUCUGUAGCAAGGUUAACCGUAUAGGGGAGCCGAAGGGAAACCGAGUCUUAACUGGGCGUUAAGUUGCAGGGUAUAGACCCGAAACCCGGUGAUCUAGCCAUGGGCAGGUUGAAGGUUGGGUAACACUAACUGGAGGACCGAACCGACUAAUGUUGAAAAAUUAGCGGAUGACUUGUGGCUGGGGGUGAAAGGCCAAUCAAACCGGGAGAUAGCUGGUUCUCCCCGAAAGCUAUUUAGGUAGCGCCUCGUGAACUCAUCUUCGGGGGUAGAGCACUGUUUCGGCUAGGGGGUCAUCCCGACUUACCAACCCGAUGCAAACUGCGAAUACCGAAGAAUGUUAUCACGGGAGACACACGGCGGGUGCUAACGUCCGUCGUGAAGAGGGAAACAACCCAGACCGCCAGCUAAGGUCCCAAAGUCACAGUUAAGUGGGAAACGAUGUGGGAAGGCUCAGACAGCCAGGAUGUUGGCUUAGAAGCAGCCAUCAUUUAAAGAAAGCGUAAUAGCUCACUGGUCGAGUCGGCCUGCGCGGAAGAUGUAACGGGGCUAAACUGUGCACCGAAGCUGCGGCAGCGACGCUUAUGCGUUGUUGGGUAGGGGAGCGUUCUGUAAGCCUGCGAAGGUGUCCUGUGAGGGAUGCUGGAGGUAUCAGAAGUGCGAAUGCUGACAUAAGUAACGAUAAUGCGGGUGAAAAGCCCGCUCGCCGGAAGACCAAGGGUUCCUGUCCAACGUUAAUCGGGGCAGGGUGAGUCGACCCCUAAGGCGAGGCCGAAAGGCGUAGUCGAUGGGAAACGGGUUAAUAUUCCCGUACUUGGUGUUACUGCGAAGGGGGGACGGAGAAGGCUAUGUUGGCCGGGCGACGGUUGUCCCGGUUUAAGCGUGUAGGCUGGUUUUCCAGGCAAAUCCGGAAAAUCAAGGCUGAGGCGUGAUGACGAGGCACUACGGUGCUGAAGCAACAAAUGCCCUGCUUCCAGGAAAAGCCUCUAAGCAUCAGGUAACAUCAAAUCGUACCCCAAACCGACACAGGUGGUCAGGUAGAGAAUACCAAGGCGCUUGAGAGAACUCGGGUGAAGGAACUAGGCAAAAUGGUGCCGUAACUUCGGGAGAAGGCACGCUGACACGUAGGUGAAGUGAUUUACUCA
rnacentral:rRNA from 1 species